rnacentral:rRNA from 1 species
UAGGGAAUCUUCCACAAUGGACGCAAGUCUGAUGGAGCAACGCCGCGUGAGUGAAGAAGGUUUUCGGACCGUAAAGCUCUGUUGUUGGUGAAGAAGGAUAGAGGUAGUAACUGGCCUUUAUUUGACGGUAAUCAACCAGAAAGUCACGGCUAACUACGUGCCAGCAGCCGCGGUAAAUCGUAGGUGGCAAGCGUUGUCCGGAUUUAUUGGGCGUAAAGCGAGCGCAGGCGGAAGAAUAAGUCUGAUGUGAAAGCCCUCGGCUUAACCGAGGAAUUGCAUCGGAAACUGUUUUCUUGAGUGCAGAAGAGGAGAGUAGAACUCCAUGUGUAGCGGUGGAAUGCGUAGAUAUAUGGAAGAAUACCAGUGGCGAAGGCGGCUCUCUGGUCUGCAACUGACGCUGAGGCUCGAAAGCAUGGGUAGCGAACAGGAUUAGAUACCCUGGUAGUCCAUGCCGUAAACGAUGAGUGCUAAGUGUUGGGAGGCUUCCGCCUCUCAGUGCUGCAGCUAACGCAUUAAGCACUCCGCCUGGGGGAGUACGACCGCAAGGUU